rnacentral:rRNA from 1 species
AUUGAACGCUGGCGGCAUGCCUUACACAUGCAAGUCGAACGGCAGCACGGGUGCUUGCACCUGGUGGCGAGUGGCGAACGGGUGAGUAAUACAUCGGAACGUACCUUAUCGUGGGGGAUAACGCAGCGAAAGCUGUGCUAAUACCGCAUACGCCCUGAGGGGGAAAGCGGGGGAUCGAAAGACCUCGCGCGAUUAGAGCGGCCGAUGCCUGAUUAGCUUGUUGGUGGGGUAAAAGCCCACCAAGGCGACGAUCAGUAGCUGGUCUGAGAGGACGAUCAGCCACACUGGGACUGAGACACGGCCCAGACUCCUACGGGAGGCAGCAGUGGGGAAUUUUGGACAAUGGGGGAAACCCUGAUCCAGCAAUGCCGCGUGAGUGAAGAAGGCCUUCGGGUUGUAAAGCUCUUUUGUCAGGGAAGAAACACCGGCUCUAACACAGUCCGGGAAUGACGGUACCUGAAGAAUAAGCACCGGCUAACUACGUGCCAGCAGCCGCCGUAA